rnacentral:lncRNA from 1 species
GUGAUCACCCAACACCUGACUGCAACAUUAAGUGCUCUGCAAAGGCAGGAGAUGGUCUUGUUACGAAGCAGAAAAGGGUUUAGAAGAUGCAAGCAUACCUGAUGAGCAAGAAAGCAGUGCUGGACAAGAGAAUUUGACCCUCAGAAUAAAAGAGCUGGAGAAAUUGGAGCAAAAACUGAAACACGCUUUAGAGGACUACAUGGAGUCAGACUCUGUGCUAAGAAAUAGGAUGAAAGAGCUGGAGCUGUCACACAAAACACUUCUUGUGAUGAUUGAUCAACUAAACAUGAAGGUGCACCAUUUUGAAAAUGCAAACGUGCGUGUUAAAGGGAAACUGCGAGAAGUUUGGGAGGAGCUGCUGACCUUGGUAAGGAGGAUAUUGUUUCAAAUGACCUAGUUUAAGUUCUCUUUAAGGUAGUAGUUUAUAAGUCAA